CCCUGCUUCAUUUGCUAUACAAUAGCUGCUAACUGACAUAUUGUCUGAUAUAUCAUAAACUGGAUAGACUUUACCUAAAUAUGGAAAAGAUUUUUCUUGUGAGCCAUUCCCUAUAUAUCUGCAUUAUCGGGCAUUGAUUACCAUCUUUCCAUUUUAUGAAAAAAAUGAAGGACAAAUGGAUGUCUUCUUGAAGGAUUCUGACAGUUUACAGUAUAAGAGAUCAAUUC